rnacentral:rRNA from 1 species
AUUGAACGCUGGCGGCAUGCCUUACACAUGCAAGUCGAACGGUAACAGGUCUUCGGAUGCUGACGAGUGGCGAACGGGUGAGUAAUACAUCGGAACGUGCCCGAUCGUGGGGGAUAACGAGGCGAAAGCUUUGCUAAUACCGCAUACGAUCUACGGAUGAAAGCGGGGGAUCUUCGGACCUCGCGCGGACGGAGCGGCCGAUGGCAGAUUAGGUAGUUGGUGGGAUAAAAGCUUACCAAGCCGACGAUCUGUAGCUGGUCUGACAGGAUGAUCAGCCACACUGGGACUGAGACACGGCCCAGACUCCUACGGGAGGCAGCAGUGGGGAAUUUUGGACAAUGGGCGAAAGCCUGAUCCAGCCAUGCCGCGUGCAGGAUGAAGGCCUUCGGGUUGUAAACUGCUUUUGUACGGAACGAAAAGCCUCUUUCUAAUAAAGAGGGGUCAUGACGGUACCGUAAGAAUAAGCACCGGCUAACUACGUG